rnacentral:lncRNA from 1 species
GAAGAAGAAGAGAGACAAUCAAACACAAACACCAAGUUUUAUAGUGGUUCGGAGCUAACCCUUGCUCCUACGUCCACUCCCCAAGUCUCACUUGGGAAUUCACUAUAACCCCCUUGGAUUACAGCCGGUUGUUUUCCAAGCUCACAACCAAACUUGUUGUUUUACGAGCUCACAACGAACUCGGUCGGUUUUUCCAGGCUCACCGACUAGAACCACCCCGAUUGUUUUUCCGGGAUCACAAUCAAACCCUUACACACG